CAGAAGGUGAAACGAGUUCUGGAGGUAGAUAAUCAGUCCGACAGGUGAACGUUCAAUCAGCAGAGACGCUCACUGACUGACUGACUGACGGCGAGUGAUCUUGCAAAGCAGCUGGUUCCAGGUCCCUGGAUUGAAAAAAACAGGCAAAGACAUAGAGGUAACAGUCUUCAAGAUUGCAUUACUUCAUCAGAAGAUACAACUGCAUUUAUGGGAAUCAAGUGUCCUCUGUUGCUGUGUCCGAAAAAGAGGGUGGCCUGCAGUGAAUAUUGUAACUAUUUUGCUCAAAACUUUUUUAGUAUUAAUAUACACCCCCAUAUAAACUGACUUGGCCCAUCAAAGCAAUAUCAUGAUACCAUGCUUUUUAAAAUAAAUUGUAUUAGAUACAUUUUGAUAUUUGUUCUACUAUCGUGGUGCAGGGGCUUCCGAGAUAGUCACAUGCAAAUGACUGUGGCAUUUUUUAUGAUAAUGGUAAGCUUUCAAACAUGGAACUUUCAAAUUAGCUGAACAUAUUUUCAGUACCUUAACCUGUUUAAUGUUUCUGACACAGUACGCCUGGUACCUCAUUUUUAGUGAUCCAUUUGACUUCACUGUUGUAAAUUGAACCGAUAAUUUGAUCGUUACAGUUCCUGUAAGUUUGACGAACUAGUGUGGAUAUUUAAAGUAGCAGCAACAUACAUCUACAUGAAGUUAAUCAUUGUGGAUUUGUGGAAUGUGCUCUUCCUAUAAGGACGACAUGCCAGUUCUGUGGAGAUGCUGGUGUUCCGUUACUAUGGAAAACCUAAUCCUCGAAGGGCAUGGGAGAAGGUUUGCCCAUUUCACUAAGGAGGGAAAGGACAUGAUUUCUGGCCGUCUUUCCCCUGUUUUCCGACUGAAGCGGAAAAGAACAGAUGAUGAAGACACAGAUGUAAGAAUAUGUGACAAUAGUGAUAUAAUAUGGCGACUUUACAUGUAUGUGUAAUUAAGACCUUCUUCAAAGGACAGUGUUGUCACCAAUAACAAUAACAGGCAGCCUUGGUUUAA